rnacentral:lncRNA from 1 species
AUGUGCGCUCCACCCGCACUUUGGGAUCCACCUACAGCCUCAGGGGCUCUGGGGUGCCCCAGCUUGUGCUGGGGACACCAGGAAGGCAGAGGGUACUUGGGGAAAGUUCCCCCAGUGGGAAAUGGGGAACAGGAGCUUGUGUGGCUGUGCCCAGAAAGCUGGGAGGGGUCUUGGGAGAGGGGUGAUGGUACAAGAGACCAGCAGAACCCUCCCAGGGAGGAAACAGCUUGGACAUUCCUUGGGGAAGCUGGGCCCUGGCAGCGGGUGCAGGGGCUGAAGGAAGCAGGUGGAGCUGCUCUUUUAUGGAUCCUGCUGCCUGGGAUCUUCCCACGGCCAUCCCAUGGGAUCAGCACUGUGGAACAACAGCUGGGGAGGGGGAUCAGGGCCAGCGCUGCUCCUUUGGGCUCCCCUUGUCCCCCUCCUGGGGCAGGAUUAGGAUUUGGAAGGGAUGUGGAGCCCCAGCUGGGGAUCUGGCUCAGCUGGGAAUUGCAGUGCAGGUGUUUCACUGCCUUUGGACAGGCUUGGAAUCUCCUCCUCUUGCUGCAGGGCUCCUGCUCCUCCAGCUCCUGCCUGGCCUCCUCCUGCACCUCCCUGUCCCUUGCCAGCCGCUCCUCUUUGCCUUUCAGCACUGGAAUUUCAGUUCUGCCUUUCCCAGCAAUGGGCUGGGAAACCUGGCGUGUGCCCUGCCCUGUCCUGGACACCCCCACGGCAUCCCUGAGGGAUCUGGGGGGAUUUGGAGGAUCCUGGGGGGGGAUUUCAGUGGAAUUUUGGGGUUCAGGGGAAAUUUGGAGGGUCCUGGGGGAGUUUCAGAGCGUUUGGGGGGCUCCCACGUUUGAGAUCCUCAAUCUUGCCCCCCCUCACCUGGGGUUUGGGCCUCUCAAACCGGAGUUUGGGAUCCUCAGGGUUGGAAGUUGUGUUGUGCCCGAGGGCUCAAUCCCUGGCUGGCAGUUUCCACCCCAAACCGAGGGAUUUCUUAUUUUCCAGUGCAGUUUCUCAGGGAGGAGCUGGGUUUGUCUGAAAGGCCGAUCCCAGUCCUGA